CGGCGGGGGGGAGGGCAGAGCGGGGCGGGGCGUCGUGGCGUGCACCUGCGCUUCCAGCCGCUGCAGCAGUCGCUCCCCGAACCUCGACCUUCCCCGGCCGUUCAGCCAUUUCCCCCAGCACUGUUCUUCUUUGGGCGCGGGCCCCGGUGUCGCGGAGGGAGGGCGAGUGGCCGCCUCGGGCCUGGCUCGGGCUGCCGGCUGGGCGGGGAGGCCCUGGGAGCUCUGGACAGAGGGCGAGGAACCUUCUAGAAAACGGCCGCAGGGCGGGUUGGAAGGCCCAGCAUCCUGCGGGCGAACUUGACUUGGAUCAUUUCUUGCUGUGCCUCUGGAAAUGAUGAGCAAAACGUGAACUAUGUGCCGAGGUUGACAGACGGCCCCCGAAAGGUGCAAUGUUGUAACGAAGCGCUGUGAGGAACAGUCUCCGCUGUCCCGCUGUGCGAGCUGCUCUAUUACAAUAUAUCCCCCGAGCUUCCUUCCUGGUCUGCAAAUUCAUUUUGGCUCCAAGCCCAGCCUGGAGACUAAUGCAGGGCUUUGAACUCACGACCCUGAGAUCAAGGCUGGAGCUGAAAUCAAGAGUCAGAUGCUUAACCGACUGAGCUCCCCAGGUACCCCCCAAUGCUCUAUUUUGAAUUCAUUUUGUAUAAUGGAUUGAAGUACCGACCAAAGUGGAGGUUUACUCCCGCCCCCCAUACGUGGAUUCCAGCUGUUCCACCACCAUCCGUGAAAAAGACACUUCCUUUUCCACUGAUCUGCACUUUUGUGGAAAAUUGACCACAUGUGUGAAGAUCUAUUUUUGGACUCUUCUGUUCCAUUGAUCUGUGUAUCUUUAUUCUUUCAGUCCAGGAUUUUGUGUGUUUUUUCUGUAAAGCGCCUAGUAUUACAUUUUUUAGGCUCUGCAUGCCAAGAGGCAACAUUCAGGACAUCAUACAGAUACUUGUUAUAUAAGACACAAGUUUCCACAAAAAUUUUAUUAGUGACAUUUGUAUAAUUGAAAAUGUAUAUUUUUUGCAAUAUGUAUCUACUAAUGAGAAAAAUGAAGUUCUUCGGAUAACAUAUUGCUUUGCUGGGGUUCAAAGGCAGCAUCCCCUACCAUCAAAAUUUAUUGUAAACCUUCCUCUGUUAAAACUGACUUGUAAUAAGAUUUUGUGUGUUUCACCAUGAAUAUGAUUUCAAUGGAGUGUAUUCAUGGCUUGAAUGGCAUUUAUAGAAUUCAGUUAGAUUCCUUUCUUGAUAUUUGCCUUUUAGCAUGUCAUUACAUUAUAGAUUAAUUGCCACCAAUUGAAGGUGAGGUAGAAACUCCUCAAACGCACAGUUAAAUGGAUUUUGAAAUACGAAAAUUUCCUUUGUACUUACACAUCGCGUAAAAAUGUGGAAAAAAAUGCUGCUGGAACUGUAGUCUGAGCUUGGAAGAUAUAUCUGCUGUGAAUUUGUGUGGGAAUGAAGAUUUCAUUUCUUGUUUUAUCUUUUGAUAGCAUGUGAAGUGCUUACAAUUGUUUGUGAUUAUUUGUGAUUCAAACAAUGUUGGCUGUCAUCUAAAUGUACUGCAGUGUAAGCUUCACACACGAGCGCUGUAAAAGCUAACUUCAAAGCUAUUCAUUGUUCAGUAACAGUGGUUGAGGGUAGAUCUUCCAACCAUUAAAAGGGGUCAAAACCAAUCUUAACUUUGUAGGCUGGGCUGUAGUGGGUUGGAUUUGGCCCAUGGGCCAUAGUUGGCUUGCCUGUGCUUCAGCUGAUAUUGUCAUAAUUAGUGUAGCUUUAAUGAGGUAGUAUGUGUCCAAUUUUGUACCUCUUUCAAAAUGAUUUUGACUAUUUUAUUCCCUUUGCCAUUUCAUAUGAUUUUUUUUCAUUUCAUAUGAAUUUUAAAGUCAGCUUGUUGGUGCCUAGAAACUAUAGUGGAGAGAUUUUGAUUCAGAUGGCACUAAAUCUAAAAUUCAGUGUGAGUAGAAGUGAUGUCUUAACAAUACAGACUUCUCUAGUCCAUGAAUAUGGUAUGCCUUUCCAUUUAUUUCUUAAAACAACAACAACAAAAAAACCUUUCAUUAGUGUUCUUUCAUCUAGAUUCUGCACAUAUUUUGCUUGAUUUAUUCCUAAGUAUUUCAUUUCAUCAGUAUUGUCAUUAUCACAAAUAGUACCUUGAAAAAACUUUGGGUUUCCAUGUGUUCUUUACUAGUAUAUAGAAAUACGAUCAAUUUUUGUAUGCUGACCUUGUCCCCUAGGACCUUGCUAAACAUACUUAUUAGUUGUAAAAAAUUUUUGUAGACUUCUUGGGAAUAUCAUGACAUCCGAGAGUGAAGACUUUUCUUUUUGCCUUAUUAUUAUGUUUUUAGUUAUAUGUCACCCUUAUAAUAUUUUUGUCUGGAUUUGGUAUCAAGGUAAUGCUGACAUCAUAAAAUGAGUUGGGAAGUAGUCUCACUUUUUCCAAGUCCUGGAAGAGAUUGUAUAGACUUAAUACUGUUUCUUCCUUAAAUGUUUGUUAGAAUUUGCCAAUAAAACCAACUGAUUCUGGAUUUUCUUUCUUAGAAUGUUUGUAACUAGGAAUAUAAUUUCUUUAGUAGAAAUAGAACUAUUCAGGUUACCUAUUUCUUCUCGAAUGAGUUUUGGUAGGUUAUGUCUUUCAAAGAACUGAUUUCACCUACGUUGUUAAACAAACAGGCAUCAAUGCUGUCAUUG